GACGAACGCUGGCGGCGUGCUUAACACAUGCAAGUCGAACGGAAAGGCCCUGCUUUUGUGGGGUGCUCGAGUGGCGAACGGGUGAGUAACACGUGAGUAACCUGCCCUUGACUUUGGGGUAACUUCAGGAAACUGGGGCUAAUACCGGAUAGGAGCUCCUGCUGCAUGGUGGGGGGUGGAAAGUUUCGGAGGUUGGGGAUGGACUCGCGGCUUAUCAGCUUGCUGGUGGGGUAGUGGCUUACCAAGGAUUUGACGGGUAGCCUGCCUGAGAGGGUGACCGGCCAGAUUGAGACUGAGAUACGGCCCAGACUCCUACGGGAGGCAGCAGUCGGGAAUAUUGCACAGUGGGCGGAAGCCUGAUGCAGCAACGCCGCGUGCGGGAUGACGGCCUUCGGGUUGUAAACCGCGUUCGCCUGUGACGAAGCUUUAGUGACGGUAAUGGGUAAAGAAGCACCGGCUAACUACGUG
rnacentral:rRNA from 1 species